rnacentral:rRNA from 1 species
GAUGAACGCUGGCGGCGUGCCUAAUACAUGCAAGUCGAGCGAACGGACGAGAAGCUUGCUUUUCUGAUGUUAGCGGCGGACGGGUGAGUAACACGUGGAUAACCUACCUAUAAGACUGGGAUAACUUCGGGAAACCGGAGCUAAUACCGGAUAAUAUUUUGAACCGCAUGGUUCAAAAGUGAAAGACGGUCUUGCUGUCACUUAUUGAUGGAUCCGCGCUGCAUUAGCUAGUUGGUAAGGUAACGGCUUACCAAGGCAACGAUGCAUAGCCGACCUGAGAGGGUGAUCGGCCACACUGGAACUGAGACACGGUCCAGACUCCUACGGGAGGCAGCAGUAGGGAAUCUUCCGCAAUGGGCGAAAGCCUGACGGAGCAACGCCGCGUGAGUGAUGAAGGUCUUCGGAUCGUAAAACUCUGUUAUUAGGGAAGAACAUAUGUGUAAGUAACUGUGCAUAUCUUGACGGUACCUAAUCAGAAAGCCACGGCUAACUACGUG